UACGUAGGGUGCGAGCGUUAAUCGGAAUUACAGGGCGUAAAGUGUGCGCAGGUGGCCGCGCAAGUCGAGUGUGAAAUCCCCGAGCUUAACUUGGGAAUUGCGCUCGAAACUACGUGGCUCGAGUGUGGCAGAGGAAGGUGGAAUUCCACGUGUAGCGGUGAAAUGCGUAGAGAUGUGGAGGAACACCGAUGGCGAAGGCAGCCUUCUGGGCCAACACUGACGCUCAUGCACGAAAGCGUGGGGAGCAAACAGG
rnacentral:rRNA from 1 species